rnacentral:rRNA from 1 species
CCUACGGGUGGCAGCAGUGGGGAAUAUUGGACAAUGGGCGAAAGCCUGAUCCAGCCAUGCCGCGUGUGUGAAGAAGGCCUUCGGGUUGUAAAGCACUUUCAGUGGGGAAGAAAGCCUUGGGGCUAAUACCCUCGAGGAAGGACAUCACCCACAGAAGAAGCACCGGCUAACUCCGUGCCAGCAGCCGCGGUAAUACGGAGGGUGCGAGCGUUAAUCGGAAUUACUGGGCGUAAAGCGCGCGUAGGCGGUCUGAUAAGCCGGUUGUGAAAGCCCCGGGCUCAACCUGGGAACGGCAUCCGGAACGGUCAGGCUAGAGUGCAGGAGAGGAAGGUAGAAUUCCCGGUGUAGCGGUGAAAUGCGUAGAGAUCGGGAGGAAUACCAGUGGCGAAGGCGGCCUUCUGGACUGACACUGACGCUGAGGUGCGAAAGCGUGGGUAGCAAACAGGAUUAGUACCCGGGUAGUC